rnacentral:rRNA from 1 species
CUCCUACGGGAGGCAGCAGUGGGGAAUCUUGCACAAUGGGCGAAAGCCUGAUGCAGCGACGCCGCGUGGGGGAUGAAGCUUCUCGGAGUGUAAACCCCUUUCGAUCCGGACGAAUACCUCGCAAGAGGGGUGACGGUACGGAUAUAAGAAGCCCCGGCUAACUACGUGCCAGCAGCCGCGGUAAGACGUAGGGGGCCAGCGUUGUUCGGAAUUACUGGGUGUAAAGGGUUCGUAGGCGGUGCGGCAAGUUGGGAGUGAAAUCUCUGGGCUUAACCCAGAGGCUGCUUCCAAAACUGCUGUGCUUGAGUGUGGGAGAGGCGCGUGGAAUUGCAGGUGUAGCGGUGAAAUGCGUAGAUAUCUGCAGGAACACCCGUGGCGAAAGCGGCGCGCUGGACCACUACUGACGCUGAGGAACGAAAGCUAGGGGAGCAAACAGGAUUAGAUACCCUGGUAGUCCUAGCCCUAAACGAUCAGGACUUGGGGUGCCACCCGUUCGGGUGUCGUCCCGGAGCUAACGCGUUAAGU